rnacentral:rRNA from 1 species
GAUGAACGCUGGCGGCGUGCUUAACACAUGCGAGUCGAACGGGAAACCUUUUAUUGAAGCUUCGGCAGAUUUAGAUUGUUUCUAGUGGCGGACGGGUGAGUAACGCGUGGGUAACCUGCCUUAUACAGGGGGAUAACAGUCAGAAAUGACUGCUAAUACCGCAUAAGCGCACAGAGCUGCAUGGCUCGGUGUGAAAAACUCCGGUGGUAUAAGAUGGACCCGCGUUGGAUUAGCUAGUUGGUGAGGUAACGGCCCACCAAGGCGACGAUCCAUAGCCGGCCUGAGAGGGUGAACGGCCACAUUGGGACUGAGACACGGCCCUGACUCCUACGGGAGGCAGCAGUGGGGAAUAUUGCACAAUGGGGGAAACCCUGAUGCAGCGACGCCGCGUGAAGGAAGAAGUAUCUCGGUAUGUAAACUUCUAUCAGCAGGGAAGAAAA